rnacentral:misc_RNA from 1 species
GAAUUGCGAAAAGUAAUGUGAAUUGCAGAAUUCCGUGAAUCAUCGAAUCUUUGAACGCAUAUUGCGCUCUCUGGCCCUCCAGAGAGCAUGCCUGUUUGAGUAUCAGAAACACCCUCACACCCGCUAUGGGCGUGGAAUUGAACGCUUCCGGCUAUACAACGUUCGCGUUGUGAUGUGGCCGGUCGUUUGAAAUGGAGCGUGUGCUGUGUUUGUCACUGCUCUCGGCUAAGGCGUACCAGUUCUCCUUGGAGAUCCACUUGCGCCGGUGUUUAGCUGUGGAGCCUUUGUGCUGACUGACGGCCGCGUCAUUUACUUUACAUCCCAAGGUGCCGCGCAGCUUGCAAAGCAACUUGAUCUUGAUCUCAAAUCAGGCAAGACUACCCGCUGAAUUUAA